GAUCCUGGCUCAGGAUGAACGCUAGCUACAGGCUUAACACAUGCAAGUCGAACGGAACUUCUUUAAAGGAUUUCUUCGGAAUGAAUUUGAUUAAGUUUAGUGGCGGACGGGUGAGUAACGCGUGAGUAACCUGCCUCUAAGAGGGGAAUAACAUUCUGAAAAGAAUGCUAAUACCGCAUAAUAUAUAUUUAUCGCAUGGUAGAUAUAUCAAAGAUUUAUCGCUUAGAGAUGGACUCGCGUCCGA
rnacentral:rRNA from 1 species